AGAGUUUGAUCCUGGCUCAGAAUGAACGUUGGCGGCGUGGAUUAGGCAUGCAAGUCGCGCGACAAGCUGUUCUGCUUGCAGAACGGUGGAGGAGCGGCGAAAGGGAGAGUGACGCGUGGGUUAUCAACCCUCAGGACCGGGAUAGCGGCGGGAAACUGCCGGUAAUACCGGAUAAUGUCUCCGGACCAAAUGGUGCGAUUCCUCCUGAGGACGAGCCCGCGUCCUAUUAGCUUGUUGGUAGGGUAAUGGCUUACCAAGGCUACGAUGGGUACCGGGCGUGAGAGCGUGGCCCGGCUCACUGGGACUGAGACACUGCCCAGACACCUACGGGUGGCUGCAGUCGAGAAUAUUCGGCAAUGGACGCAAGUCUGACCGAGCGACGCCGCGUGCGGGAUGAAGGUCUUCGGAUUGUAAACCGCUGUCAGAGGGGAUGAAAUGCUAUGGGGUCCUCUCCAUAGUUUGACAUAGCCUCAGAGGAAGGGCGGGCUAAGUUCGUGCCAGCAGCCGCGGUAAGACGAACCGCCCAAACGUUAUUCGGAAUCACUGGGCUUAAAGGGUAUGUAGGCGGCAUGGUCAGUUGGGUGUGAAAUCCCUCGGCUUAACCGAGGAAUUGCGCCCAAUACUGCCAAGCUCGAGGGAGACAGGGGUAAGCGGAACUGAUGGUGGAGCGGUGAAAUGCGUUGAUAUCAUCAGGAACAC
rnacentral:rRNA from 1 species